CCGGCACCAAAUCCUGAGCCACUACCAGAACCAGAACCACCGUUAGUAUUUCCAUUACCACCUCCACCCCCAUUUCCACCUCCUCCUCCAAAUCCGCCAUCAGAUCCAAAACCGUAUCCAGAACCCGCUCCGGAUCCAAAUCCCCAUCCCCACCCUUUUUGACUCGGAGGUGGAGGAGAGUUGAUAACCGGUGGUGAGACAGAUGGAGGGCUCAUUAUAGGUGGUGAGACAGAUGGAGGGCUCAUUAUAGGUGGUGAGACAGAUGGAGGGCUCAUUAUAGGUGGUGAGACAGAUGGAGGGCUCAUUAUAGGUGGUGAGGCUGAUGGAGGAGAGUUAACUGGUGGUGGAACUGACGGCGGAGAGUUGGGACCAGAAGUUACUAUCGUGGCAGUGCCAGAACCAGUACCCGUACCCCCACCACUACCUCCAGCCACACCACCACCUCUUCCACCACCAA
rnacentral:lncRNA from 1 species